UACGUAGGGUGCGAGCGUUAAUCGGAAUUACUGGGCGUAAAGCGUGCGCAGGCGGUUUGUUGUGUCGGUGGUGAAAGCCCCGGGCUUAACCUGGGAAUGGCCAUGGAAACUGGCGAACUGGAGUGUGGCAGAGGGGGGUGGAAUUCCGCGUGUAGCGGUGAAAUGCGCAGAUAUCAGGAGGAACACCAAUGGCGAAGGCAGCUCACUGGGACGGUAUUGACGCUGAGACGCGAAAGCGUGGGGAGCAAACAGG
rnacentral:rRNA from 1 species